rnacentral:rRNA from 1 species
GACGAACGCUGGCGGCGUGCUUAACACAUGCAAGUCGAACGGAAAGGCCCUGCUUUUGUGGGGUGCUCGAGUGGCGAACGGGUGAGUAACACGUGAGUAACCUGCCCUAGACUUUGGGAUAACUUCAGGAAACUGGGGCUAAUACCGGAUAGGAGCUCCUGCUGCAUGGUGGGGGUUGGAAAGUUUCGGCGGUUGGGGAUGGACUCGCGGCUUAUCAGCUUGUUGGUGGGGUAGUGGCUUACCAAGGCUUUGACGGGUAGCCGGCCUGAGAGGGUGACCGGCCACAUUGGGACUGAGAUACGGCCCAGACUCCUACGGGAGGCAGCAGUGGGGAAUAUUGCACAAUGGGCGGAAGCCUGAUGCAGCAACGCCGCGUGCGGGAUGACGGCCUUCGGGUUGUAAACCGCCUUCGCCUGUGACGAAGCGUGAGUGACGGUAAUGGGUAAAGAAGCACCGGCUAACUACGUG